AGCUGGAGGGCACGUGAGACUGGGCAUCAGUCCAGCUGUUCAGUGUGUGGCCAGGGACUGGCAAACCCAGUCUCUUUGAACUGUGGACACAGAGCGUGCCAACAGUGUGUCAGCUUCCAUUGGGACCAGCCUGGUCCACCAGGGGAUCCUGGAUGCCCCCGGUGUGGAAAGAGAUCCAGAACACACCCUGAACCGAAUCUACAUCUGCAAAAUCUUGAAGACCAGCAUGAAAAGAAACAUGGAGCAGCUUCAGUCCCUAACUCCAUUAGUGCCCGGGAUGGAGGCACCGUCAUUGCACCAUUUAUCUAUAACUCCACAGUGAGGGACAUCGUCAUCACUUUGCCAAAAACAGAAGCACCACAAAGCAGUUCCACUCAAAAAUGUGAGUUGGGUAUCUAUCUAUUAGACCAGCCUCGGUCUACC
ensembl:lncRNA